rnacentral:rRNA from 1 species
AGUGAACGCUGGCGGCAGGCCUAACACAUGCAAGUCGAGCGGCAGCGGGUUCCCGCGAGGGGAUGCCGGCGAGCGGCGGACGGGUGAGGAACACAUCGGAAUCUGCCUGGUUGUGGGGGAUAACGUAGGGAAACUUACGCUAAUACCGCAUGAGACCCUGAGUCGACGGACUGGGGGUGAAAGUGAGGGACCUUCGGGCCUCACGCGACCAGAUGAGCCGAUGUCGGAUUAGCUAGUUGGCGGGGUAACGGCCCGCCAAGGCGACGAUCCGUAGCUGGUCUGAGAGGAUGAUCAGCCACACUGGGACUGAGACACGGCCCAGACU